rnacentral:lncRNA from 1 species
UCUCAGCGAUGCGGCAACAAUAGCAGUCGGGCCCUCGCCCCGCCGGCCGGCCCAGCACAGCUCGCAGGCCCGCGCCUUCCCGCCAAUGGCAGCGCCGCUACCGUCCGCCCACCCGCCCGCUCGCCAGCGCGGCACCCAACCGAAUGGCUGCGCGGGCACAGCGGCCAAUCGGCGAGGGGCGGGAGGCGGGGCCCGGCUACGGAUAGCCAAUCACACGGCACGAAGCAAGGAGGCGGGCGAAGGAGUGAGCGAGCAAGUGUAGGUGUGGUGCGCGGGAGGGGCGGUGUGAGGAGAGCGGCGGGGCGGGAGGAGCUGAGGGAGGAGCUGAGGGAGGAGCUGAGGGAGGGGCCGAGCGCUCUUGAGGUGGGCAGUGCCGCUACUUAUGGGGAUGCUGAGGGAGAGUGGGUAUCUAGCUGGGUGCAGAGUGGGGAUGAUGCUGCUGUGUGUUACCGCUAGGGCUUUGGGGUCUCCCUCUCAGAGUCAGACAUGUUUGAAGUGCCUCCUGGUAGUCCUCAUUACACACUGAAGAUAUCCCAGUGAUGCCAGCAGAAGAUGUGCUGGAGUACAGAGGCGUGUGGCUGUGCAGCAUGGGGAGAGGGCAUUCCUGUGUGUGACCAGUUUUUCCUGCAAAGCAACUGCUUGGUGCUGAUAGUGAGAACUGUAUGGCAACGUGUGCUGGAAGUCUUGCUGAUAUCUGAAAGCCUCAGGAUUUGGCUUGACAACAUGGCUGACGCACAGUGUCUUGAAAUGUUUGCAAGAGUCUGUGGCAGUGCCUCCUCCUAAGACUCAUUCAGAAGCCAUGUGCUCUGUCUGCAGCUCUGCACCACCAACUGGAUUUGUCCCCAUUGUGCUGCCCUGUGCAUUCAUGUGAGUCAGCUUCAUGUGCCAAGUCAAAAGCAAGUUGCUGUGGUUGGAAAUGAUUAACAAAGAUUUACAAAGCUUUCUUAUACUUAAAAGCAUUUUAUUGUCUUUUAGCUAGUAACGUUUCAUGUGAAACAUGCCCAGGACAGCUGCAUUUGUUCUUAAAAAGGUAAGCUUCUUAAUACCAAGGAUAAGAUUUUUGUACAGCCUGUGAUAAUAAAUGGAAGGUAGGUGAACUAUGUGCA